AACGAACGCUGGCGGCAGGCCUAACACAUGCAAGUCGAGCGAGGACUUCGGUCCUAGCGGCGGACGGGUGAGUAACGCGUGGGAACGUGCCCUUUGCUUCGGAAUAGCCCUGGGAAACUGGGAGUAAUACCGGAUGAGCCCUUUGGGGGAAAGAUUUAUCGGCGAAGGAUCGGCCCGCGUUGGAUUAGGUAGUUGGUGGGGUAAUGGCCUACCAAGCCGACGAUCCAUAGCUGGUUUGAGAGGAUGAUCAGCCACACUGGGACUGAGACACGGCCCAGAAUCCUACGGGAGGCAGCAGUGGGGAAUCUUAGACAAUGGGGGGAACCCUGAUCUAGCCAUGCCGCGUGAGCGAUGAAGGCCUUAGGGUUGUAAAGCUCUUUCAGCUGGGAAGAUAAUGACGGUACCAGCAGAAGAAGCCCCGGCUAACUCCGUG
rnacentral:rRNA from 1 species